AAUUUUGUUAGUUACUUUGAAUUUUCUUAGGCUUUGGUUUCGAAUUUUAUUUCUGAGAAUUUAGGUUCGAGCGAGUUCCGGUUAGGUAAAACUGCGAAAAUGCUAUAUAUAGAGCGAGAUCAGAUGGAUGCCUCAGAAUGAUCGAGAACCCAUCAGAGCUCUCGACCUUCUCGACGACCCGAAGCCACGACCCGGGCGGUUCUCCACCAUCCACCGACGAGACGACGGCGGACCACCGGCAUUCUCCUAGUCUCGUCAUCACCGACGUGCAUAUGGUGAUGGAUCAUCCAUGCACGGAUCGUGAAGGGAGAUUCGAAGCUCGGAAGGUACGAAGCUCUUCAGGCAAUUUCUGACUUUUCCGGCGACUCCGGCCACCGUCUGGGUUGUCUGAGGUACGAAACGAAAUCCUCUCGACGAUUUCUGCGUCUGUGUAUAAUUAGUUUUUGAUUUUGGUUGGGUUUUGGUGGAUUGAUGUUUUGGGUGCCUUCGGCCUCGUCUGAGUUGCCGUGCACGGUGGCGAAUUCUGGAAUUUCUGGGCUUGUUUUGAUGUUGGUUCUCGUCCUAGGAUCAAGAAGUGAUGCUCUUGGGUCCUUGCUGCACUGCGGAAUGAAGGAGAAGAUCGGGAUGUGCUCUGCUUUGCUCGACGUUCACCGAGCAGCGUGGCUGCAAGUUCAUGCUUGUUCAGCAAUCUGUGGUAAAUUCUGAAUCUUAAGGUCUGGGCAAUGCGAUUGUUCUUCUCGGUGCAGAAUUGGAAUGGGUGGUGGACAUAUGCUUAUUUUUGGCUCUAUUAUAUGUUGAUUGAUUAUGCUGGACAAUGGAAUUGGCAUGUUGAUUAGCUACCAAAUUAAGAAUUGAAAAACAUGGAAAUUGCGUUAGUGGUCGAGUGUCCAGAUUGUAUUGAAUCUUCUUAAAUCAAGGUUUGGAAUUGAGGAAGAGUAGAGAAUUGGAGCUGGAGGUUGAUCGAAGGCCUUUGCCAAAUAAAAGGUGGAUUGUGCAAUACAUAAAUCGAAGAAGAAGGAUUUUGGGUGAAGGUUACUUGACUGGGUAUUGAUCAAAUUGAGGUAAGAAGCAUUCUUGGAUUGGAUUAAAUUCUUAGCUGGGUCUAAUUGUAAUUAAAGUAGAAAUCUGGUACUCGGCAGAUUGGAUGUUGGAGUAGUGAUCUGCUUCACAAAGGUGUUUCGGGCAGGAUUCCAGUGACCCACGGCUUGACAAACGACGGUGAAAGCUCGGAGAUUGUCUGAGCACGGAUUCCAGGAACUGAGCAGGAGCCAGCUGAGGACCAUGCUUAGACACUUGGGUGUUGGCAUCGUCAAGUUGUGAAUAGCUUCUUUUGGACUUGACUGUUGGUUUGGCAGGUGUUGAUCAAUCUCCCUCCUUUUGAAAUUGUGAAUGUGACUUGUUUUGUUGUGGGAACCUUUGUAAAUUGUUAUUAUCCGCCUGCCUAUCUUUUGGUGUGUGUUACCUAGCGUGAACUUGAAACCCGAAUCUUGGACUCGUGACUUUUGUGGAAUGUAAAUAAAGUACUCUUUUGUUGUAAAAUCUUUACGCUUCCGGAUCAUACUCUCAACCUCAAUUGUAAACGUUCUUCUCACCACAAUUCUAAAAGGCCUUGCAAGCUUUUGUGGCAUGGGUUUGUGGCACAAGCUGCAGACUCAUGUUCAGAGGCUUGCGGCGCUGUAACGUAAUCCUUCCGGGGC